GUCUGGGUCUCUUGAUGUGGAAUGAAAAUGCAGGUCCUUAUUCACCUGUGAUACAAAGAAGGAGGCAUUGACUUGCAUGUGGCUAUGAGAAGGGAUUCUUCUCUGGGUUGGGGAGUGUUGAAGAAGAUAUGCCGGGAAAUGAAGGUGAUAUAAAAAUAAAAGAGACCAUAUUUUUAAAAGAAUGGAUCCACUGUCUUUUCGAUGUGGCUCUUCUUUCAUCGAUAAAGAUCCUAACCAUCUACCCAGUAAGCUUGUAGGACAGCUAGGUGGCGCCAUAGUGCAUAGAGCACU